CCUACGGGGGGCUGCAGUGGGGAAUAUUGGACAAUGGGGGCAACCCUGAUCCAGCCAUGCCGCGUGUGUGAAGAAGGCCCUCGGGUUGUAAAGCACUUUCAGUGAGGAAGAACGCCUGGUGGUUAAUACCCAUCAGUAAAGACAUCACUCACAGAAGAAGCACCGGCUAACUCCGUGCCAGCAGCCGCGGUAAUACGGAGGGUGCGAGCGUUAAUCGGAAUUACUGGGCGUAAAGCGCGCGUAGGUGGCUUGAUAAGCCGGUUGUGAAAGCCCCGGGCUCAACCUGGGAACGGCAUCCGGAACUGUCAAGCUAGAGUGCAGGAGAGGAAGGUAGAAUUCCCGGUGUAGCGGUGAAAUGCGUAGAGAUCGGGAGGAAUACCAGUGGCGAAGGCGGCCUUCUGGACUGACACUGACACUGAGGUGCGAAAGCGUGGGUAGCAAACAGGAUUAGAUACCCCAGUAGUC
rnacentral:rRNA from 1 species